UACAGAGGUGGCAAGCGUUGUUCGGAAUUACUGGGCGUAAAGGGCGCGUAGGUGGCCAUCUAAGUCAGACGUGAAAUCCCCCGGCUUAACCUGGGAACUGCGUCUGAUACUGGACGGCUAGAGUAUGGGAGAGGGAUGUAGAAUUCCAGGUGUAGCGGUGAAAUGCGUAGAUAUCUGGAGGAAUACCGGUGGCGAAGGCGGCAUCCUGGACCAUUACUGACGCUGAGGCGCGAAAGCUAGGGGAGCAAACGGG
rnacentral:rRNA from 1 species